UGAGUGUCUGUGUGCAACCGCAGCCUGUCAGCUACACCCUGGCUCCCACCAGCCUUGGUUACAUUGCAGGUUGACCCCAACGCACAUCCAGUCCCAGAUGCAACCAGAUGGAGUUACUAUAAGUGAACUGCGCUGUUAACACUCAGUGGGAGUUGCCUUCCCAAAAGGAAUUAAUGUACAGCAGGAUGUAGUAAUGCUUUUCCCCCUCGUGUGCACAGUUGAGCCUUCCUCUGUAGAAUGAGUGGAGAGUGCUUGGAAAGGUGUAUUUGGUCUUGAAAAGUAAACAAGGAUGGCAGAGCAAUUUUCCUUGCAAUUAUUCACCUUGACAAUGCGGAUGCUGUGAAGAGGAGCCAUCUGUCCUCAGUAGGCCCGCCCCCGACCUGGUUGACAACAGCGGCAGCAGAUGCACAAGGCUUGUUAUUUCAGCUGCACAAGAAAGGGGUCCAGAAAGUGAUUAAGACAUGGCUGAAAAGAAGGGAAGUAUGUUUAAAAAAACCUUCCAGAAAGCAGAAGACCGAGCCACAACCUACUCAUAU